rnacentral:lncRNA from 1 species
AAGGUCUUGGACUAGUCAAGACCUAUCUGAAGGAUGUAAAGCUUCCAAGAAAUUGAUUGAAACAGGUGAUAAAGACCAAAAUGUUGGGAGAGAUUUGACUUUAAGUGGAAUGGCUUUUAAAAAUCAGAGUUUAUCAAAAUCUGCAUUGGCAUCUAGCAAUAAAAGAAGUCAUGGUAUGUUUGUAAUGGAUUUGAACAAAACAUUCGAUAAUCCGAAGACGUCACCCAUUUUAGAGAGAGGUAGCUCGACAACCAGUGUUGAAAGUUUGCCAACAAAAUGUGAAGGUAUUGAAAAUUCUGUUUCUAACUAUUCUAGUCCUAUCAAACUCAUGUUUUUAUCUGAGAUUAAAAGCAGUGAAGGAGUCAAAUACACUUUAACUUCAGUCAGCACAUCACAGUCAAAU